CUGUAACGUUGUUUGUUUACAUAUAAAAUUCUUUUGCUACUAAUAAAUGUUUGUAAAUAUUCUGUAAAAACAAUGCCCAGAAAACGCAAAUCUAAUCUUUCGAAGAGAAGUUAUAAAGCUUGGGUUAUGGAAGUAGCUAGAAGACCUGUUUGCAAUUUUAGUGAGCACUUGUGAACUGUCAAACCUCCUCCAGUUGUGUGAUACAUACAAGGACGCUUUGUAAGAAGAUAUCGUGGCUGGAGGAAGGCUUCGUAUCAGAGUUUGGAAGCAAUAUUAUAAAAACUACCAUUAUUACAGGAGCUGCUAAAGGAGGCGACGUUUUAAUUAACCACAUACCUGUUAUUCCAAACAACUUGUCAUUUUUUUUCAAGAGGUUGCAAUAUCCUUUAAAAUUGGCUUUUACAAUGACGAUCAACAAAUCCCAGCGCCAAACCAGGGCUUAAUGUUGUAUACAUUAUGGUAUUAGAAUAUAAAUUAAUGUUGAAAUUUUCCCAUAGACCUUUCUCAAUCAGUUACAAGUUUCUUGAUUAUAUCAUAUCAGACUUUGCUUUCAACAACACUAUAAUGAUAUGGUUUGAUAACAUUUUACAUUUUGAUCAGACCGUCAGUUCUUAUACAUACACAUCAAAAUUUCCACACAAACGAAGUCGCGGGUAAUGGCUAGUUUAUAAUAAAGCUCAAUGUGUGUACGCUCGACAGGCCAGACCGUUUGACCUACAGUUACCUAAUUUGGCACAUGUAUACCUUGGAGAUCGAGAAUGUGCACCUCGUUUUGUUUUUUUCGAAUUUUAUUAUCUUUUUAAUUAUACUAAUGUUUUAAUCUAUAAAUUAAAUUUCUAUGUUUUAACAAAUCAUAUUUUUGAACAGCUUAUUUCAUACAAAAUAAAAUUUAACUUGCACAAGCACGUUACGUGCAUAUGGGGGGGGGGAAUUAGCUUUUAUCAAAGUGUUGCCAUCAUAUUGACAAAAAGUCUAAUUAAAAUAUAAAUCAAUUGUUAAUACAAAUUAAAUAUAUAAAGAUGUAAUUUUCAGCAUGUGUCUGUAUGAAAAGAAAUAAAUAUGAAAUAGGAUAUUUUAUAAAAAGUAAAUGCAAAAAAAAAAUUCAAUGACUUUUGCUAUUAAUUCAAUAAAUAUACUAUUAAUUUAAUAAAUCAGCUUUAUUUAAGACAAACAUUGUUUAAUAUAUAUCCUUUCAAUUCAAGGGCUGUAACGGCUGUUUUGUUAAUCUUUUUUAAUAGAAAUAAAUGUAUUAGAAUAGUCUAAAUGAAAUAAAUAAUUGUAUUAUAUGUAACUUGAGACAACAAAUGAAGAAUGUUUAGCUUUUGUCUAGCUCCUCUACUCUGUGAAUCAUGUUUAACAAAAUAUUUUUCAGACACUAAUAUUUUAAAUAAAAAGUUAUAUUUGAAUCAACUAAGUCAGUCACUAAAACUGACUGAAUUAUGAAUAUUUGAAUAUCACUAUUCAACAAAAAUGGGAGAUUUUAGAUGACUUCAUUGACCAUUUCGAAGAUGGUAACCUAAUUUGCGUUCAGGGUUUCUCAACACUGAUUUUUCCAAGAUUAUGAAAAUAUUGAUUGUUCUAAACUAUUCUAUUCUAAACUAUUCUAUUCAAAACUUCAUAAUUCAAUCAAAUUUGAUAGCAGAAGAUAGAAACCUUCAUUUAUUUAUUUAAAAGUUGAAGUGUCGAGAAUAUUUCACAGAAUAUGAUUCCUUAGAACCAAAGGACUAUAUAAAAUUUAGGCUUCAUAAUUUUUUGAAUUAUAUUUAUAGACCAAAACAAAAUAAAAUAUUGUUAUUUAAAUCCUUUUGAAAGUAAAACUGAAUUUUAUGAUGAAUCUUAAGAAUUUUUUGUUGAAUAAUUCUUGAGAUAUUACAUAAAUUAUGGAAAUUCUGUAGUACACAUAACAAUUCUCUUUUCAGCACUCAUAUUUUUUAAAAAAAUGGUUGGUUUCAGUAAAAAAAUGUUUUUAUAUCAAUGGCAGUUUAAAUGUUUCCCCUUUAAUUUAAAGUUGAAAUUUUGCGGGAAUUGACAGAUAAAAUUUAGUUUUAAAAGAGAUAAUUUUUUAAGAAUGUAUAGAAAAAAGUACUGCCAAUAUUGGAAAUUAAAAAGGCAUAUUUUUAUCCUUAUGCAUUUAUUUUACUGCUUAUAUAUAAUAUGUACUCAUUUUUUUUAUAUGUUGUUUUAUAUACUAAUAUUAUCUUUAUAUUCUUUUGACAACUUUUCGGUGGUUGAAGAUUAACAAAAUCCAAAUAAAUUUUGUUUGGUUUGAAAAAGAAGAUUGUAUUAAAUUUCAGUCAACUUGCCUGAAUGCAUUAAAAUCUGUAUCAAAUAGUAUUUAGUAGGAGCUGCAUUUCUUAAUAUUAAUUUGAUUUUUCCCUCAUAAGGUAAGUAAAAGAAAAUUAUUUAAAAUUGCAAAUAUAUGAGCAGUAAUUUUUCUCUUGUGGGCAAUGCAGUUUUUACAUUCAUGGAUUUUAUUCUUAUAAUUUUCUAGAUCUCAUGUUUAAAAAAAAGAUGGUCAGGGUCAACAAAGUGAAUAUUUCUAUAGAAAAUGAAAUCCAUGUAUUUAUCACAGCCUACAAAUUAAUAAAAGUAAAAUUUGUGUAAUUAUAAUUUUUAACAACUUUCAGUUUGUAUCUAUUUUAGCAUUUUUUAUAUUGUUGUAUUCAAAAUAUUACUGAAAUUGGAUAUGUACAGAAUGACAUAAGUUCAACUGAAGUGGGGAAGUAUUUCUUAUAUAAAAUUUGUGACAUAUUUUUAAAAAAAUUUUUGUGGUUUGAUUAUGUGACUCAAGACAUAUUAUACUAAUAUUGUGUAUGAAAAGAUCAUCUAUUUUGAUACCUGUUAAAAUGUGAUAAAUGAAAAUUCAAGCAAAUAUUUAUAUAAAAAUGUACUGGUAAUAUCUGAUCAUUAAUAUUUAAUUUUAAAAUUCUCUAACUUUCCUAGCAAAAUCUAUUAUUUUAAAACAACUUGUGCUGAAUAUUAAGGAAAAUAAUAGAAUUCUAUCGGAAUUAGUAAAGCUAAUAAAACUGUGGGAUUUUUUUUUUUUUUUUUCCCCUUCUGCAUAAUGAAAAACAAUUUUUUUUUUCACAUUAUAUAUAUAAUAUAGAUCAUCAUCAAAUAAAAAUCUGAAAUAUAUCUGAACAAAUAAGCUAUAUAAUAAAUUAUUUAUUCUUUAAGAGAAAGAUCAGUUUUUAAAAUGUCACAAAUGUGUUUUAUUAUUGUUAGUAUUGUAUAACUACAGUGGGCCACAAAAUUGAAUUAGAAAUUGCACCUUAGAAACUUAGAGACUUUUUGUAAUUACAAAUUAAAUAUUGCUUUAAGAUAAUUGAAAUUUUUACCUUAUAUACUUUAGUCUAUGCUUUACCGUACUAUACUAAUAAAAUUGUUACGUUUAUUUAUUUUUUACGAAAAAAAAUAAAAGAUCUGAGACAAGAGGAAAAACAACAUCACAAAAAUAAGUAUACACCUUUAUUAAUUUCCUUUUAACGUACAAAUUAAUAUUUUGUUACAUUACCUUUUGUUUGAAUUACAGCUUGUAAUCUUCUGGGCAUAGAUUCUACUAGUGUUUUAGUGGUUUCAACAGAAAUUUUAGCCCAUUCUUCUCUCAGAACCUUCUUGAGAACUUCCUUGCUUAUGAUUUCGUGCUCAUGUACAGCUUUCUCUAAUUGCGACCACAAAUUUUCGAUGACGUUUAGGUCUGGAGACUGGGCUGGAGUGUGUAAUUGCUUCCUGCAAUGGUACAGCAAGUAUAACUGCACAAUCUUCACUGUAUGCUUGGGGUCGUUGUCCUGCUGUAAUAUUGACCCAAGCCCCAACUUACUGGCCCUUUUUUUCAAGUUAUCAUUUAAAAUUCCCAAAUAUACAUGUUUGUCCAUAAUACCAUCAAUAAAAGAAAGCUCUCCAACUUCUCCAGCCGACAUACAACCCCAAACGAGGACAGAUCCACCUCCGAACCUGACUGUCUUAAUAGUGUUUUUAGGUGCCAGUGCUUUCCCAGCGUCUCUCCAUAUUUUAAAUCAUCCAUCGCUUCUGUAAAGAUUAAACUUACUUUCAUCAGAAAAUAUUACAGUGUUCCAGAAAGAUAUAGGCUUUAAACGAUGUUCUUUGGUGAAAAUCACUCUCUUUUGUCUAUUCACAUACUUGAUGAGUGUCUUUCAUAUUGGUGUACGGCCAUGAAACCCAUACUAGUGAAGGGUACGUCGAAUUGUUUCAUCUGAGAUCUUUUUCAGGAUUGUAGAGGACAUCGAUAAAGUUAGUUUAGAGGCACUCACCCUCGGAUCUUUCUUUACUGAGUGAAUGAUCUUCCUCUUCACUGUAGUACUCAGUAUUUCUUUACGUCCUCUUCCAGAAAUAUUGGCUACAGAUCCAGUUUUUUUAUACUUCUGUAGUAUUUUUUGGACACAACCAUGAGUUACACCACUCAACGAAGCGAUUUCUCGAAGAGAUAUGCCCUAUUUCAACCAUUUUACAACCAAUAAACGUUCAGAUUCAGUAGUUUCUCUAUGAGAGCUCAUUUUACGAUUUUAAUGAGAAAAAAUACUAUUUAAAAGCGUUGAAGUGCAAUAGCACGUGUUAUAAGCAGCAGCUACUCCUGAAACUCUUUAAAAAAAUUUGAAACUAAAAAACAGUGGCGGCAAAAUUUACAAAUAUAAGAAGUGUAUACUCAAUUUCGUGGCAUGGUUUUCUAUCUUUUCUUCGAAUCACUUAACUUUUUUCGUAAUAAAUAAGUUAACUAUAGAAUUUUGUUAUUAUAGGAUGGUAAAGCAAAGGUUAAAGUAUCUAGGAUAAAAAAAAUUAUCUAUUUUAAUUCAAUAUUUAAUUUGUAAUUGGAAGAAGUCUAAAAGUUUUAGAGGUGUAUACUCAAUUUUAUGGCUCACUGUAUAUGCAGACUUUCUUUUCCUACUACUUCAUCUGUUUAUCUAAUAAAAGACUUUCACAUUUA